CCUACGGGAGGCAGCAGUGGGGAAUAUUGGACAAUGGGCGAAAGCCUGAUCCAGCCAUGCCGCGUGUGUGAAGAAGGCCUUCGGGUUGUAAAGCACUUUCAGUGGGGAAGAAAGCCUUGGGGCUAAUACCCUCGAGGAAGGACAUCACCCACAGAAGAAGCACCGGCUAACUCCGUGCCAGCAGCCGCGGUAAUACGGAGGGUGCGAGCGUUAAUCGGAAUUACUGGGCGUAAAGCGCGCGUAGGCGGUCUGAUAAGCCGGUUGUGAAAGCCCCGGGCUCAACCUGGGAACGGCAUCCGGAACUGUCAGGCUAGAGUGCAGGAGAGGAAGGUAGAAUUCCCGGUGUAGCGGUGAAAUGCGUAGAGAUCGGGAGGAAUACCAGUGGCGAAGGCGGCCUUCUGGACUGACACUGACGCUGAGGUGCGAAAGCGUGGGUAGCAAACAGGAUUAGAUACCCGAUAGUC
rnacentral:rRNA from 1 species